GGGAAAUUGGUUAAUAUUCCAAUACUUCUGUGUAAUGCGAUGAGAGGACGGAGAAGGUUAAGUCAGCCUGGCGUUGGUUGUCCAGGUGGAAGGAUGUAGGUAUGUAUCUUAGGCAAAUCCGGGGUACUCUAUACUGAGAUCCGAUAGCAAGCUGUACUUGUACAGUGAAGUGGCUGAUACCAUGCUUCCAGGAAAAGUCUCUAAGCUUCAGUUACACAGGAAUCGUACCCGAAACCGACACAGGUGGUCAGGUCGAGUAGACCAAGGCGCUUGAGAGAACUCUGCUGAAGGAACUAGGCAAAAUGGUACCGUAACUUCGGGAGAAGGUACGCUGUUGUUGGUGAUGGAACUUGCUUCCUGAGCUGACGACAGCCGCAGAAACCAGGCCGCUGCAACUGUUUAUUAAAAACAUAGCACUCUGCAAACACGAAAGUGGACGUAUAGGGUGUGAUGCCUGCCCGGUGCUGGAAGGUUAAUUGAUGGGGUUAGCGUAAGCGAAGCUCUUGAUCGAAGCCCCAGUAAACGGCGGCCGUAACUAUAACGGUCCUAAGGUAGCGAAAUUCCUUGUCGGGUAAGUUCCGACCUGCACGAAUGGCAUAAUGAUGGCGGCGCUGUCUCCAGCAGAGGCUCAGUGAAAUCGAAAUCGCUGUGAAGAUGCAGUGUACCCGCGGCUAGACGGAAAGACCCCGUGAACCUUUACUGCAGCUUGACACUGAACUUUGACCUUACUUGUGUAGGAUAGGUGGGAGGCUUUGAAGUUGGAACGCUAGUUCCAAUGGAGCCGUCCUUGAAAUACCACCCUGGUAAUGUUGAGGUUCUAACUCUGUCCCGUUAUCCGGGACGAGGACCGUGUCUGGUGGGUAGUUUGACUGGGGCGGUCUCCUCCUAAAGAGUAACGGAGGAGUACGAAGGUGCGCUCAGCGUGGUCGGAAAUCACGCGUAGAGUAUAAAGGCAAAAGCGCGCUUAACUGCGAGACCCACAAGUCGAGCAGGUACGAAAGUAGGUCUUAGUGAUCCGGUGGUUCUGUAUGGAAGGGCCAUCGCUCAACGGAUAAAAGGUACUCUGGGGAUAACAGGCUGAUACCGCCCAAGAGUUCAUAUCGACGGCGGUGUUUGGCACCUCGAUGUCGGCUCAUCUCAUCCUGGGGCUGAAGCAGGUCCCAAGGGUAUGGCUGUUCGCCAUUUAAAGAGGUACGCGAGCUGGGUUUAGAACGUCGUGAGACAGUUCGGUCCCUAUCUACCGUGGGCGCUGGAAAUUUGAGAGGAUCUGCUCCUAGUACGAGAGGACCAGAGUGGACGAACCUCUGGUGUACCGGUUGUGACGCCAGUCGCAUCGCCGGGUAGCUAUGUUCGGAAGGGAUAACCGCUGAAAGCAUCUAAGCGGGAAGCCUACCUCAAGAUAAGAUUUCCCUAGGAAUUUAUUCCUCUAAAGAGCCGUUCGAGACUAGGACGUUGAUAGGUUGGAUGUGGAAGCAUAGUGAUAUGUGAAGCUGACCAAUACUAAUUGCUCGUGAGGCUUGACUAUACAACACCCAAGCAGUUG
rnacentral:rRNA from 1 species